AUACAGAGGGUGCGAGCGUUAAUCGGAAUUACUGGGCGUAAAGCGCGCGUAGGCGGCUUAUUAAGUCAGAUGUGAAAUCCCCGGGCUCAACCUGGGAACUGCAUCUGAUACUGGUAAGCUAGAGUUUUGGAGAGGGAAGUAGAAUUUCAGGUGUAGCGGUGAAAUGCAUAGAGAUCUGAAGGACUACCAGUGGCGAAGGCGACUUCCUGGCCAAAAACUGACGCUGAGGUGCGAAAGCGUGGGUAGCAAACGGGAUUAGAAACCCCAGUAGUCC
rnacentral:rRNA from 1 species